UGCCAGCCGCCGCGGUAAUACUGAAGGUGCAAGCGUUAAUCGGAAUCACUGGGCGUAAAGCGCUCGUAGGUGGCUUUGUAAGUCAGAUGUGAAAGCCCACGGCUCAACCGUGGAAUUGCAUUUGAUACUGCAUCGCUAGAGUAUAGGAGAGGGAAGUGGAAUUUCUGGUGUAGGAGUGACAGCCGUAGAGAUCAGAAGGAACACCGGUGGCGAAGGCGACUUCCUGUACUAUUACUGACACUGAGGAGCUAACGCGUGGGGCGAAAACAGUCUUCGCUC
rnacentral:rRNA from 1 species